rnacentral:lncRNA from 1 species
GGACGUUCUUUGAGAGACCACAAGAACACAUCAAGGAUCAUGCUCCUCAUUCAACAGUAUGAGCAGUUUGGUCACAGAACAAGCCCCGUGUGCAGCAUCAUAAAGAAUGCAAAUUUGAGGACAUGGGAUGCUACUGUCCAGGCAUGAAGGACACCCACAGAGGAAGAUCAGGAAACAUAACUAGGAUACUAAUGUAAAGAAGAACAUGCCAGAGGUUUUAAAUAAAUAAAGACGGUGGAAGAAAUAAAACAUCCCUUGAAAGAGAACACAAGGGUAUCAGAUUUAGUGAACAACUGCACCAGACAGACAACAAUUCCAGGAAAGCAUGGCUCAAACUGUAUUUCCUAUUAUGCAAGAACAGGUGCAAUUAUA